rnacentral:lncRNA from 1 species
UCUUGUUGACAUCUACAAUUGGGACUAUCAGCAGUCUCAAUUAAGUGAAGAUGCCUUCUAAUAUGACAAUAUCCUUUAAGGAGCUCUGUGAUAAUCCUAGCUUCAUUUUUAUGCAAUGCAAGUAACUCUUGUUCUCUGUACAGAAGGAUCUAAAAUAAGAACCUUUGCUUGUCUUAGUCCAGAAGUAAACCUCCAGUGGGUGAAGGUGAGCUGCCAACCAGUCCUUGAUGACCUGCCCAAAUGAGUCAUCUGGAUUGGCUGUAUGGAAAUACUUUGGCUUUCCAUUCUGGAGGACCCAGGUUCGAAUUUCGGGACCCACCCUUUGAAAAUAAUUAUCAUGAAGUCCGAGCCUUGCCUGUCGAUCCCCAUCCUCCACAAUCUGGCUGAUACCUCUGUAGGUGAAGAGCUCCACAGUGGAAGGGCUUGUUUUGCCCUACCACUUAGUACUCUUACUGAGUGGAAAGUGACAUCAUCUGUUGACAAAAGAAAAAAAAAACUGC